UACGGGGGGGGCAAGCGUUGUUCGGAAUUACUGGGCGUAAAGCGCACGUAGGCGGCUUUGUAAGUUAGAGGUGAAAGCCUGGAGCUCAACUCCAGAACUGCCUUUAAGACUGCAUCGCUUGAAUCCAGGAGAGGUGAGUGGAAUUCCGAGUGUAGAGGUGAAAUUCGUAGAUAUUCGGAAGAACACCAGUGGCGAAGGCGGCUCACUGGACUGGUAUUGACGCUGAGGUGCGAAAGCGUGGGGAGCAAACAGG
rnacentral:rRNA from 1 species